AUAAAUAUGAUUUUAUACAUAAUUCUUGUUUGGUACAUAAAGGUACUAAAUUGCAAGUUGCAACUAAGGAGAUUCUAAUUUGUACAAGCUCCAAGUAACUUUGAGCUAACACAAAUCAUAGAUCAACAAGUUUGUAUGUUACGGUAUUGGUUUUCACAUAUGGAGAAUAAGUUAUCAGUUUUAAAUUUGUUUCUACUAUCCAUGUGUGGAAUCAGAGCUAGCCAAACAUUAAAAACUGAAAAACUCAGGUUGUAGUAAGCAAUCCUCCACCGCAUAAUCAUGAUUUAUGUGUCAAUUCACUUAUUUCGUACAGUUCUCUAAACACAAAUCCAUGCCGGUCUGCUGAUUUUUGAGUUCCGAUAGACCAAAACUAAUUGGUGAACAUAAAAUGGCUUCAGAUGCUAUAGAGGAGGCUAACUGUGUUGGGUGGUACAUGUCCCAGAACAAUUAAUUCCGACGGUCAAGGCAGCAUAGCGCUGUUGAAUUACAAGAGCCUUGUGCUUUUCAGCUUUCCAUAUCCGCAGCAUGUUUAUUCAACAUCAUGAAAUUAUGCAACAAUUCUAAGAAACCAAAAGAGUAGUAGUACGGCUACAGCCAUAGCCAAUUCCUUUUCUUGUAAUGUGUGCAUGCAUUCAGUUUUUUUUAUUAGACUAUAGUUUGGUGUUGCUAAUUUCUUACCUUAGGAUUUUGCAGUAUUGAUGGCAUUAUAAGUCAUUUGGUAUAUAUAUGUUUCCAAGAGAGAGAGUACUUCAUUCCUGGAAGCUGGGUGCUGAUAUUAAGCAUAAGGGUGUUGAGUGCUGAGUGGAACGCCUGAACAAGAUCGUUCAUGGAGGAUCGCAACCAGUGGUCCUGUUCUUGUUGAAUUGGACCAGUUUUGAAUGCGGACAUCAACCCACCAGUUGAACAUUUAUGACGGAGAAUCGCCUUGCUCCCAGUUUAUACCACAUCUACAAGGUAUGAUGAUAAGCAUAUAAGAUAGGAAGCCCUAACUUAACCCAAAACCAUGGUCAAAGGUAAAGGGUUGACUCCCUAUUAUAUGCUAUUCCACACUUUCGUGUGAAACCGAUGUGGGAUCGUAUCAUAUGAUAACAGAUCAUAUUGAUCUUAUUGGGAAGUGAUUUUACCAAAGAAAUUAUUUAAUGGGAAGAAAGACUGGUCAUACUGUGAUGUGCCUGUAAUAUGAUGAUAUAAGAAGGGAAAACACGUCUCCUGUUCCAUAUUCGCUGGGUGAGUAUCAUUGCUCCCGAUACUGAUGAAGAACACAGACAUAUUGAGCAUUGCUUCAGUUUAAAGCGCUACUAUCAUAGCAGCGAAAUUACUGCACAGUGAAGUGAACUGAUUUAUCUGUUCUGAAAUGGCACAAUAGUCUGUUGACAGUGCAACAUAACGCAAGCAGAGAAUGCAAGAAAAACUAUAGGCCUUGGCAUGUCAUCAACCAGUUGAGGGACGAAUUUGGUGUAGAUGGUGAGCAGACGCUCACAGAAAGGAAUGUGUUGCCAUAGCAAAGAUCACAGGCAAUCAAUGAAUGAGCAUGUGGUGGUUAUGCUGUGAUUGAUGCAAGCACGAUGAUGAGCAGCGGCUUCUGGCAAGGGACUCAAGCAAAUCUCCAGCGCGGCCUUUGCGGAUGAGGCAGAUGGUGUAGUCCAUGAAGACCGAAUCACAAGGUAACACAAUAGGGCCGUUACAGGGCAGGCCGUACUCCUCUUCAGACAUCUCAAGCAGAUGCCGGAACACAGGGUCAUUGAGAUAGGCCAAUGGAACCACAAAGCGCCUCUGGUCAGCAGUGUAGACUGCAAAGUGGCCCUUGUCCAUGUAUGACGAUGGCGCAACACAGCAGACGUCGCCGUUUCUUGGGUGCAAGACUCUCCUGCGGCGUGUAGCAGCGAGCUUGUGCCACUGGUGGAUCAUCUUGGAGAGGUUCUUGGCAGUAAUCAUGGUAGAUGGCGUGAGUUUUGGAAGUUGGAUUAUGGUGCAGAUGAAGUGGGAUUUUUAUACGAGGGAAGGUGGAGACAGAGUUUCAGUUGAUGCCUAAAAUCAAGGGCUUCAGAGGCAUGUGGCGUCGGUUUACAUGGGACCUGGAUUAGAUAGAAACGUCUAAUGCCAAUGUAUUUAGGUAAAAUGUGCACAGUAAGUUCCUACCUUCCAAUUUGCUAAUUUUCUUCAGACACAA